UUCAUGCAUCAAACCUUCUUCAUCAUUCAAACUUAGAACACUCGCCUUCUUUAUCAUUUCAACUCAUAGCCCUCUUUUCCCCGUCAAAUUCAGCCCCAAUUUUGAAACUCAAAAUCCCUAAAACCAAAAUGAACUGUACCCAUAAAUCAAAUAUCCUAAAAUCAAUUCAAUCUACGUUCCAAAAUCUUUUGAUUAGUUUCUAGAAAUAUUUACAAAGGUUCUUGUAUCUCUCUGUCUUGCCGUUACUGUAUUCGAUCUCGCCUUACUCUGUAGCCGUAUUUUGUCAUGCUGCCCUCCAUAGUAGUUGUCCUUGUCCAUUUGCAUUAUUGUUGGUUGAGCUUCGUCAUUUUGUUCUUACAAGAAAUCCCAUAAACCAUCUAAUCUCGCUCUUGUCUAGCUCUUUUGUUGCAAUACUCGAACACUACAACCCUUUUGUUGCAAUACUCAAUCACUACAACUCUGACACAAAGAAUAUGAUAAGAAAUUAACUUUACCAACAGAUGCAGAUGAUGACCAGCCCUCUCAUCCUGUUGAAGCUGAAAUAAAAUGAUCUCAUCAAGUUAAUUCUCUAUGGUUUGAGGCUUGAGAAGCUUUCGAAAGAUCCAAGUAAAGGAAAUGCAUGGCAUUCUGGUCACAUCGCUUUUGGAAGAUAUCAAUUUUUAAUUGUAGUAACCUGUAAGUCUCAU